GCCGGUGAUGACUAUGUUAUAUCGACAGAAUCGCAGAUUAUAAUUUGCGUAAUGUGUUGAUAGAAAUUAUCAUGAACUAGGACGGUCUGAAGGC